UACAGAGGUCUCAAGCGUUGUUCGGAUUCAUUGGGCGUAAAGGGUGCGUAGGUGGCAUGGUAAGUCGGAUGUGAAAUCCCGGGGCUCAACCCCGGAACUGCAUUCGAUACUGCUGCGCUAGAGUACUGGAGAGGAGAUUGGAAUUUACGGUGUAGCAGUGAAAUGCGUAGAUAUCGUAAGGAAGACCAGUGGCGAAGGCGGAUCUCUGGACAGUUACUGACACUGAGGCACGAAGGCCAGGGGAGGCAAACGGG
rnacentral:rRNA from 1 species